rnacentral:rRNA from 1 species
AGACGGAGGGAGCAAGCGUUGCUCGGAAUUACUGGGCGUAAAGGGCGUCUAGGCGGGACGGUAAGUCGGAUGUGAAAGCCCUGGGCUCAACCCAGGAAGUGCAUUCGAAACUACCGUUCUUGAGUGUGGCAGAGGAGAGCGGAAUUCCCGGUGUAGCGGUGAAAUGCGUAGAUAUCGGGAAGAACACCAGUGGCGAAGGCGGCUCUCUGGGCCACUACUGACGCUGAAGCGCGAAAGCUAGGGGAGCAAACGGGAUUAGAUACCCCAGUAGUCC